rnacentral:tRNA from 1 species
GGAAGCACUUCAUUUACACUGAAAAUUUUAUUGUGCAAUUCAAUUUAACUUGAUUUAAUAUUAAUC